AUGGACUCAGGAUUCUUCCACCGAUCAAGUGCAGAACAGUAUAAUCGGUUCAGCAACAAACAGAAGAAACUACUGAAGCAGCUGAAAUUUGCAGAAUGCCUAGAAAAAAAGGUGGACACGAGCAAAGUAAAUUUGGAAGUUAUAAAGCCUUGGAUAACAAAAAGAGUAACAAAAAUCCUUGGGUUUGAAGAUGAUGUUGUGAUUGAGUUUAUAUUCAACCAGCUGUAAGUGAAGAAUCCAGACUCCAAAAUGAUGCAAAUCAACCUGAAUGGAUUUUCGAAUGGAAAAAAUGCUCGAGAAUUUACGGGAGAACUAUGGCCCCUGCUGCUAAGUGCACAAGAAAACAUCUCGGGAAUCUCUUCUGCUUUCCUAGAACUGAAGAAAGAAGAAAUAAAACAAAGACAGAUUGAAUAAGAAAAAUUGGCGUCUAUGAAAAAGCAAGAUGAAGACAAAGAUAAAAGGCAUAAGUUAGAAAAAGAAAGCAGCAGAGAAAAAAGGGAGAGGUCUCGUAGCCCAAGAAGACACAAAUCUUCUUCCCCUAAAAGACAAUCUUCCCCUGUUAGAAGAGAGAAAGCACAGUCAUUCUCGAUCUCCCCAACAAAGAACCAAGGGCCAGAGUCCUUUUCCUGCUCCAGAAAAGAAGGAAAAAACUCCAGAGCUCCCAGAACCUUCAGUGAAAGUAAAAGAACCUUCAGUACAACAGGCCACUUCUACUAGUGACAUUCUGAAAGUUUCCAAACCUGAACCUGUACCAGAGCCUAAAGAACCUUCUCCGGAAAAAAAUUCCAAAAAAGAAAAGCAGAAGAAGACCCGACCACGAUCUCAGUCACACUCCAAAUCAAAAUCUCAGAUGCGGUCCCCACUGUCCUUCUCACACUCCACCUAGACAGCGCCAUAGAUCCCAAUCAAGAUCGUAUUCACCUAGAAGGUGGCCAAGCCCAAGGCGGCAGCCAUCUCCUCGAAGAAGAACCCCACCAAGAAGAAUGCCUCCUCCACCAAGGCAUAGAAGGAGUAGAUCUCCAGUAAGAUGAAGAAGACGUUCAUCAGCAUCCUUGUCUGGGAAUAGCUCAUCAUCCUCUUCAUCUCAUUCCCGGUCACCACCAAAGAAGCCUCCCAAGAGGACAUCCAGCCCCCCUCAAAAAACUCGUAAGUUAUCUCCUUCAACAAGUCCUCCAAGGCGAAGGUACAGGCCAUCUCCUCCUGCAACUCCACCACCCAAAACUCAGCAUUCCCCAACACCCCAGCAGUCAAACUGUACAAGAAAAAAUCAUGUUUCCGUGUCUCCAGGGAGAACUUCAGGUAGUAACAAAACAUAAAGGUACUGAGAAAAGGGAGUGCCGUUCACCAGCACCAAAGCCUAGAAAAGUAGUUGUCUGAAUCAGAAGAAGAUAAACAUGGUAAAAUGGCUGCAGCAGAUUCUGUGCAGCAGAGACACCAAUACAGACAACUAAACCAGCAGUCUUCAUCUGACUCUGGCUCCUCCUCCUCUUCAGAAGAUGAACGACCCAUGAGAUCCCAUGUGAAGAAUGGUGAGGUUGGCAGGCGGCGGAGACAUUCCCCUUCCCGGAGUGCCUCUCCAUCACCACAAAAGCGCCAAAAAGAGACUUACCCUCGUGGUAGACAGAGGAGAACUCCAUCCCCACCACCCACCAGAAGGCGAUGGUCUCUUUCUCCUGCCCCUCCUCCUCGAGGGCACAGUUCUCCCACACCACCACCACGAAAAAGAACUCCUUCUCCUCCCUCACAUCGGUGCUCACCUUCUCCUAGAAGAUACUCUCCUCCAAUACAGAGGAGAUACUCUCCUUCUCCACCUCCAAAGAGAAGAAUGGCUUCUUCUCCUCCCCUUCCUGAACAAAGAGCAUUACCAUCUCCACCACCCAAGCAUUGGGUCUCCCAUUCUCCACCUCCCAAACAAAGAAGCUCCUCAGUCACCAAGAGACGUUCACCUUCAUUAUCAUCCAAGCAUAGGAAAGGGUCUUCCCCAAGCCGCUCUACCCACGAGGCCCGAUCACCACAACCAAACAAAUGACAUUCACCCUCACCACGGCCUCGAGCUCCUCAGACCUCAAGUCCUCCACUUGUUUGAAGAGCAGGGUCGUCAUCACCCCAAAGAAGGCAGUCCCUGUCUCCAAAUACUAGGCCCUUUAGGGGAGUCUCCAGGACUCUGGAACCUAAAAAAACAAAAAAGGCUGCUUCACCAAGCCCACAGUCUAUAAUGAGGGUCUCAUCAUCCUGAUCUGUCUCCAGGUCUCCAGAGCCAGCAGCUUAAAAGCCCCCAGCACCUCCAUCCCCCAUCCAGUCUCAGUCACCAUCUACAAACUGGACACCAGCUGUACCAGUCAAAAAGGCCAAAAGCCCAACACCAAGAGCAUCACCGCCAAGAAAGCCAGAUCAAGAAGGAGGUGGGAAAAAAAAGAAGAAAAAAAAAGGACAAGAAACACCAAAAGGAUAAGCACAAGCAGCACAAAAAACACAAGGAAAAGGCUGUGGCUGCAGCCACUGCGACCCCUGCAGCCACUGCAGCUGCCACAACCACAUUAUCACAGGAAGAACCAGUGGCAGCGCCAGAGCCGAAGGAGGAUACUGAAAGUGAAGCUGAAGAUAACCUUCAUGACUUAAAGCACCUGUGUGAAAAGGUCCUGAGAUCAAUGAGGAAGGCCCAAGUGUCCCCACAGUCA
rnacentral:lncRNA from 1 species